UUUGAGUGAUUAUCUCGUGUCUUCCCCUCGUGUUUCUCCUCGUGUUCUUCGUGUUCUUAAUUGGGAUCCGCUCCUUUCGUGAAAGAUCGACUAUAUAGGGUUGCACCCUACAUCAUCUCCCCAGUUCAUCCUCCGUCCCUUGCUGCCCGAGAUUCUCAUCUGCUCAGGCCGCGAGGAAGCCACGUGAGGAGGAGAGACCUCGUCUCGAGAAUCCCGGGAGGAGGGGCUCAACCAGAGAGGAGCAGAUGCCAGCCAGGUAGUCGGCUCGGCUCGACGCCGUCCUUCGUGUCUGGGCCGCGGCAGACCCUAGCGCCGUCCUUCAGGUGUCUUCACGGCUGCAGGAUUGUAUGUUCGAGGAUGUAAAUCUAUCUGAUAUGUUGUUGAUGGGGAUUAAGAUUAUUGUACUGACAUAUCUGAAAGUAUUGUACUGACAUAUCUGAGAAUUUAAUGAUCUAUCAGCAACUAGCUACAGGUUUCUUUGUAAAAAUUAUUGGUUAUUCUGAAAUCUUAUUAUUAGGUGUUAAGCUUCAGGCUGAUGUAUUGGUUGAGAUCGAGGAGAGAGCGAGCCGUUGCAGAGGAGAGGGGAUACAAGGGUGGGCGGAGGUCAGGCAUUGCUAACAGAUUUGAGGCGGAGUGGGAAAGGUGAAGGUGAUGCCGGCCGGCUGGCGCCUCACCACUGGCUCCUGUUUUGCAGCGGCAAAGAGAACGGUGCCGAGGAUGUGUUGAUCUAUGCACGGCUGUCAGAAGUACAUCCUUGCUAUGAUGUAUUUUUUUGUGGCCUUCUCCAUUAGAAUAUUUCUCCUCAAUGACCAUAUCAACCUGUCUGGUGUUUGCACAUGUCAUUUUGGUUCAGGUUACCGCCAUUCCGCCUCUUCCUUGUGAUGGUAUAGGAGUACAUACUAAUUCGAUAAACAAGAGGCGAAGUUGCCAACGCCUGAGAUAGUGGUUCCUACCUCUGGCCUUCGCACCUUUAGUUCCGCAAGUAGUUCAGCAACUCAAAUGGCCAGCGAUUUGCUUUCUCCUUGGUUUACAGUGGCUGCAGCCUCCUAUUUGUGACGUCGUAGCCCCAAAGGUGAGUUGAGUUGCUGCUUGGUUUGAGAUGUUGAUGUCGUUCGAGACGCCCGCUGGAUUCACCCUUUUCAAGGUUCUGAAUAAGGGCAAGCUUGACAAGGUCGAGCUGAGUGUUCGUCACCACCUCAGCUCUUGGUUUGGUUUGGAUUACUCGUGUUUUUUAUUUUGACUGCAAAAUAACUUCUCUUUUCAACACACUUAGUACGUGAUCUAGCAAUCACAUUAUAAUAGAGUAAGUGAGAAAAGGCUCUUUAUUUGAAUGACCAAGAAUCCGUUGUGUGCUCCUGAACUGCAAGGAACACUCCACUACGAAACUCACUUAAGCAGGCUGAUAGAUGAUAUCUUGUCUUGAGCCUAUUUUCUCAAAAUAAUGAGAGGCUGAAUGAUUCAGACACAGGCUGAACCAUCUUUCUCACCUCAUCAUUUUGUUACAUUUGAUUACUGAUUCGUCAAGGAGUUGUUGUUCUGCGUUCACUUAUUUCCCCAAACUGUAUGUACGCAUCGCUCGCAAAAGAAAUCGAUUUAAACCCUCUUCGAAAAAAUUUGGACUGUUGUAAGGUUGAAAAAAAAUGCAUGUGUUGUUCUGUAAGCACUUGAAUUGAAGGGCAAAAUGAAAAGUAACUCAGCAGUGGAUAAUCUUACCUCAUUAGCCUAGACAAUACUACAGGUGGUAUGCUGUUGCUGGCCCAUAUAUCCCAAGACAGGGUAUACAGAUAGCUCUUGACCUUGCCAGAGCUGGUACAGGUGUGAUCUUCAUGGAGCUAGCCAUCAUUGGAUUUGGUAAUACAUAAUCACUUAUUCAGAGAGCCCAAGGUGAGAAGGAACGAGCAUCUAGAACACCAUCACCUACUAAUCAGUGAGCUACUAUCUGUCUUUGAAUGAGUUACUUAACAAGAGAAGGCAGGAGUUUCCUACCUUUCUUCUGCAAAUCUGGAAUGCCUUUAUGGCAUGAUCAUGUGAAAAAAGUACCUUGAUGCAGUAAUGGAUUUGAUUAUCACUGGUUACUCUGUUUUCACGAAUUACUAUCCAACUGUAAGUCUGUUCUAUACCCUAAGGCCCAUGUAAAUCUGAUAGAAGAUUAAGCUAUUUAAUUUUAACUGAAAAGGAUAAUAUUCUUUCAGUCGCUUGAAUCUGUCCAGACCUGAAAAAUACUUAUACUUUGAAAGCUUGAUAUAUGAGUAUGUAAUUUUACAGGUAUGUAGAUAGCCGACAAUGUUAUUGUUCAAAUGUACUCGAGCCAGGUUUUCGGUGUUUCAUUGCAACCAAAAGAAUUGGUAAUAUUGUUUUGAUGAAAACAUGGUCGCACUUGUCGGUGUUGUAGUGGCAUAGGAAAAUUUUCCCUAAGAUCCACUAUGAAGUUGAUUGAAAGUCCAUUUUCCCUAAGAUCCACUAUGACAAUGAAAAAGAUUUCUGAAAACUGUGUCACCAUAAAUGUUCCAUCAUUGUCCAUAGCAGUCCCAUGCCAUAUUAAUUUCAGAAGAAUAAAUUCUUAUUCAGAUGUUCAUUGUGUUUUUAUGUACUGCUAUAUCUAAAAAAGCAAGUUUCAGCUAAAACCAGAGCCGUGGUUAAGAUACUCUUCGCACCUAGGAUAUGUGUAUAUGUUCAGAUUGCUAACUUUAAACUAUAGUUUUAGAAAAUGUGGUGCCCUCGCUUAUUUUUCUAAUGCAUGAACUUAGGGUAAAUGUUUAUGUGUAAUGCGUGCUUGAUUUUUUUGUGGUUCUGGUGGAUUUUGAUUUUCUCCACCAUGCUUCUCUCCAACGGGAUGAGUCUGUUUUCGCAGCAGCGGGUGAUGCAUGUGCUUAUUGUUGGCUGUUGCUAUGUGGUAUGCAUUUUCUCAUUGUUGGUUGUUUGUUGUUUGCUAUGAUUAAGAUACAUUGGCAUGUACAUUUUACAUCAGUUUUGUUUUCAACACCACCUAUCACUGUAUGAUUUGCCGUUAAUAGAGUAGUUUCUCCUUUAUUGCAUUGCAUAAUGCUAGCAAGCUACAUUGCACCAUAAACAAAAAUAAUCCUCUUCCAAGGUUAAACCUGUUUUUUUCCUUCUAGCAAAGAUCUUCUCUGGAAAAGAUCAAUUCCGUUAGCCUAUAAUAUUGCAGUUCUUUCGUAUCCUUCAAAGAUUUAUAAAUAUUUUCUAUUUCCACUCCAUUCGUUCCCAUGGAUUCUGAAAAAAAUAUUUUUGUUUUUUGUUGAUUAAUAAUAUUGCUUUCCCUUUCAGUUUUGGGUGGUCGAUGCAUGUAGAAUAUACAGACUUUCCUAGAAUGGCGCUUUUAGUUUUUCUGCUUGAUGUUAGUUCAUUGAUGAGAACACCUAUGUACAUGAUUGCUGCAUGCAUGAUAUCCUACUAUAUACUGAGAAAUAUUUUUGUUUUCCGGACAUUGUUUUCUAAAUCCUAUCAGCAUAUUACCUGAUAUGGUCUUUGAAGUUUCUAUUUUAUAGCGACUCUCUGCACUGGUCAACUUGAGUAUGGUAUGGUUAUCUUUUCUUUUGUUUACAGGCGAUGUGUGGUAGAAGCUGUACUCACAGGAAGACUAUCGUGCUGUGUAUAAACCACGUUCCACGAUUCACUUCUGUUAUGCAUAUUUACUUUCCAGUUUUAGGACUGAAAUCCAUCCAUUGUAAUGAAUUUGGUUGUAUGGGCAUUACCUAUUUGACUUAGGCUUGCUUCAUCACAUAUAGACUGCUUUUCUUUUCCCCA